GAUGAAGAACGCAGCGAAAUGCGAUAAGUAGUGUGAAUUGCAGAAUUCAGUGAAUCAUCGAAUCUUUGAACGCGCAUUGCGGCCCUUGGUAUUCCAUGGGGCAUGCCUGUUCGAGCGUCAUUUGUACCUUCAAGCUUUGCUUGGUGUUGGGUGUUUGUCUCGCCUUUGCGUGUAGACUCGCCUUAAAAUAAUUGGCAGCCGGCGUAUUGAUUUCGGAGCGCAGUACAUCUCGCGCUUUGCACUCAUAACGACAGCGUCCAAAAGUACAUUUUACACUCUUGACCUCGGAUCAGGUAGGGAUACCCGCUGAACUUAAGCAUAUCAAUAAGCGGAGGA
rnacentral:misc_RNA from 1 species